UACGUAGGGUGCAAGCGUUGUCCGGAAUUAUUGGGCGUAAAGAGCUCGUAGGUGGUUCGGUAAGUCGGAUGUGAAAUCUCCAGGCUCAACCUGGAGGGGUCAUUCGAUACUGCCGUGACUAGAGUUCGGUAGGGGAGUGUGGAAUUCCUGGUGGAGCGGUGAAAUGCGCAGAUAUCAGGAGGAACACCCGUAGCGAAGGCGGCACUCUGGGCCGAUACUGACACUGAGGCGCGAAAGCGUGGGGAGCGAACAGG
rnacentral:rRNA from 1 species